rnacentral:rRNA from 1 species
AGGCCUAACACAUGCAAGUCGUACGAGAAGGUUCCUUCGGGAACUGGAGAGUGGCGCACGGGUGAGUAACGCGUGGGGACCUACCUCUUAGUGGGGGAUAACGGUUGGAAACGACCGCUAAUACCGCAUACGCCCUUCGGGGGAAAGAUUUAUCGCUAAGAGAUGGACCCGCGUUGGAUUAGAUAGUUGGUGAGGUAACGGCUCACCAAGUCAGCGAUCCAUAGCUGGUUUGAGAGGAUGAUCAGCCACACUGGGACUGAGACACGGCCCAGACUCCUACGGGAGGCAGCAGUGGGGAAUAUUGGACAAUGGGCGCAAGCCUGAUCCAGCCAUGCCGCGUGAGUGAAGAAGGCCUUCGGGUUGUAAAGCUCUUUCAGAUGCGAAGAUGAUGACGGUAACAUCAGAAGAAGCCCCGGCUAAUUUCGUGCCAGCAGCCGCGGUAAUACGAAAGGGGCAAGCGUUGUUCGGAUUUACUGGGCGUAAAGGGCACGCAGGCGGUCCUGCCAGUCAGGGGUGAAAGCCCGGGGCUCAACCCCGGAACUGCCUCUGAUACUGCAGGACUAGAGACUAGGAGAGGGUGGUGGAAUUCCCAGUGUAGAGGUGAAAUUCGUAGAUAUUGGGGAGGAACACCAGAGGCGAAGGCGGGCACCCUGGACUAGAUCUGACGCUCAGGNGCGAAAGCGUGGGGAGCCAACAGGAAUUAGAUACCCCUGGUAGUUCACGCCGGUAACCGAAUGAGUUGCCAGUUUGUCGGGAAUUUCGAUUUUCGGGUGACGCAGCCUACCGCAUUUANGCCC